CCUUUCCUGAAGUUUCUAAAUCUCUCCGGGAAUGGCCUCACACGGAUCCGCAGCGGCGCUUUCCAGGCCUGGCAUGGGAUGCAGUUCCUCCAGGAGCUGAUCCUCAGCCACAACCCGCUGGCUGUCAUUGCUGACGCUGCCUUCUUCAAGCUGCCCUCAGUGAGCUCUCUCCAAGUGCCCAAGGAGGCGGCCUGCUGCCUGUGCCAGGAGCGUCCCCAGCCCGAGAGCCCCUGCAGGACCAUCCAGUUCCUGUGCCAGAAGCUGUGCAGCA